UACAGAGGGGGCAAGCGUUAUUCGGAAUUAUUGGGCGUAAAGGGCGCGUAGGCGGCUUUGCAAGUGACGGGUGAAAUCCCUCGGCUUAACCGAGGAACUGCCUGUCGAACUGCAUGGCUUGAGACCGGGAGAGGUGAGUGGAAUUCCCAGUGUAGCGGUGAAAUGCGUAGAUAUUGGGAGGAACACCAGUGGCGAAGGCGGCCCUCUGGCUCGACCCUGACGCUGAGGCGCGAAAGCGUGGGGAGCGAACGGG
rnacentral:rRNA from 1 species